rnacentral:rRNA from 1 species
UUUUAAUUUAAUUUAUAAUUUGAAAUUUUAAAUUAAAUUUGAUUGGGGCGAUGGAAAAAGAAUAAGUAUCUUUUUUAGUUUUAAAAAUUGGUUCCGUUUUUAACGAUUAAAUGAGAAAAAUACUCUAGGGAUAACAGCGUAAUAAUUUUGGAUAGUUCUUAUAGAUAAAAUAGUUUGCGACCUCGAUGUUGGAUUAGGAUUCUUUCUUGGCGAAGAAGUUAAGAAAAAGAAGUUUGUUCAACUUUUAAAUUCCUACAUGAUCUGAGUUCAGACCGG